rnacentral:rRNA from 1 species
GUGCAGCAGUCGCGAAACCUCCGCAAUACACGAAAGUGUGACGGGGUUACCCAAAGUGUCCAAAUUUGGACUGUGGUAGGUGAGUAAUGUCCCCUACUAGAAAGGAGAGGGCAAGGCUGGUGCCAGCCGCCGCGGUAAAACCAGCUCUUCAAGUGGUCGGGAUAAUUAUUGGGCUUAAAGUGUCCGUAGCCGGUUUAGUAAGUUCCUGGUAAAAUCGGGUAGCUUAACUAUCUGUAUGCUAGGAAUACUGCUAUACAGAGGGCGGGAGAGGUCUGAGGUACUACAGGGGUAGGGGUGAAAUCCUGUAAUCCUUGUAGGACCACCAGUGGCGAAGGCGUCAGGCUGGAACGCGCCCGACGGUGAGGGACGAAAGCUGGGGGAGCAAAGGGG